UUCAGCGAGCCAUCGAAUCUUUGAACGCACAUUGCGCCCGCCAGUAUUCUGGCGGGCAUGCCUGUCCGAGCGUCAUUUCCUCCCUCACGCAGCGCGCCUGCGUGGUGUUGGGGCGUUCUGCGGCCCGGCCUGCGACUAGCAGGCCGCCGCAGCCCCCGAAAGCCAGUGGCGGGCCGGCAGCGGGCUCCGAGCGCAGUAAGCAGCAGUGCCCUCGCUCUGGACGCCCCCGCCUGCGCCCUGCCCCCAAAGACGGCAGACGCGAGUCUCCCUCCUUCUCAAGGUUGACCUCGGAUCAGGUAGGACUACCCGCUGAACUUAAGCAUAUCAAUAAGCGGAGGAAAAGAAACCAACAGGGAUUGCCCCAGUAACGGCGAGUGAAGCGGCAACAGCUCAGAUUUGGAAUCUGGCCCCCAGGGCCCGAGUUGUAAUCUGGAGAGGAUGCUUCUGGCGCGGCGCCUUCCGAGUUCCCUGGAACGGGACGCCGGAGAGGGUGAGAGCCCCGUACGGUCGGACGCCUAGCCUCUGUGAAGCUCCUUCGACGAGUCGAGUAGUUUGGGAAUGCUGCUCAAAAUGGGAGGUAAAUUUCUUCUAAAGCUAAAUAUUGGCCAGAGACCGAUAGCGCACAAGUAGAGUGAUCGAAAGAUGAAAAGCACUUUGAAAAGAGGGUUAAACAGUACGUGAAAUUGUUGAAAGGGAAGCGCCCGUGGCCAGACUUGUGCCCCGCGGACCACCCGGCGCCCUCAGCGCCGGUGCACUCCGCGGGGCGCAGGCCAGCAUCGGUUUUUCCAGGGGGACAAAGGCGGCGGGAACGUGGCUCCCUCGGGAGUGUUAUAGCCCGCCGCGCCAUGCCCCUGGGGGGACCGAGGACCGCGCUUCGGCAAGGAUGCUGGCGUAAUGGCCACCGGCGACCCGUCUUGAAACACGGACCAAGGAGUCAAGCAUUGGGGCGAGUGUCUGGGUGCCAAACCCGCACGCGAAAUGAAAGUGAACGCAGGUGAGAGCUUCGGCGCAUCAUCGACCGAUCCUGAUGUUCUCGGAUGGAUUUGAGUAAGAGCCUUACCGCUUGGACCCGAAAGAUGGUGAACUAUGCCUGUAUAGGGUGAAGCCAGAGGAAACUCUGGUGGAGGCUCGCAGCGGUUCUGACGUGCAAAUCGAUCGUCAAAUAUGGGCAUGGGGGCGAAAGACUAA
rnacentral:rRNA from 1 species